rnacentral:tRNA from 1 species
CCUUAUGUAGUAAAACUUUAAUAUGUUGGGCUUAAAACUCAGAGAUGGGAUUAUACCCCGUAAGGU